rnacentral:rRNA from 1 species
UACGGGGGGGGCAAGCGUUUGUUCGGAAUUACUGGGCGUAAAGGCUCGUAGGCGGCCAACUAAGUCAGACGUGAAAUCCCUCGGCUUAACCGGGGAACUGCGUCUGAUACUGGAUGGCUUGAGUUUGGGAGAGGGAUGCGGAAUUCCAGGUGUAGCGGUGAAAUGCGUAGAUAUCUGGAGGAACACCGGUGGCGAAGGCGGCAUCCUGGACCAACACUGACGCUGAUGAGCGAAAGCCAGGGGAGCAAACGGG